UACGUAGGGGGCUAGCGUUGUCCGGAUUUAUUGGGCGUAAAGAGCGUGUAGGCGGCCAGGUAGGUCUGGUGUGAAAACUCGAGGCUUAACCUCGAGAUGUCAUCGGAAACCAUUUGGCUAGAGUCCGGAAGAGGAGAGUGGGAAUUCCUGGUGUAGCGGUGAAAUGCGCAGAUAUCAGGAAGAACACCAAUGGCGAAAGCAGCUCUCCUGGGACGGUACUGACGCUGAGACGCGAAAGCGUGGGGAGCGAACAGG
rnacentral:rRNA from 1 species